rnacentral:rRNA from 1 species
GGAGGUAGUGACAAUAAAUCACAAUGCGGGACUGUUAGUCUUGCAAUUGGAUUGAGAACAACGUACAACUCUUAUCGAUAAGCCAUUGGAGGGCAAGUCUGGUGCCAGCAGCCGCGGUAAUUCCAGCUCCAAUAGCGUAUAUUAACGUUGUUGCAGUUAAAAAGCUCGUAGUUGAAGUGAGGGAGUGUGUGUUCAUGAGAGCUAGUCUCGAGUGUUCACAACCUCCCCCCUCCAAUCGGUGUAGUGGGGUAUUCAGUUAUUUCACUACUCCUUUGGUCGUUUACUGUGAGAAAAUUAGAGUGUUCAAAGCGGGCGUUUGUUUGAAUAGAUUAGCAUGGAAUAAUGAUUGAAGGCUUUCGUGUUCGAUUUGAUUGGUUUGUUCAUGGAAGCAAGGUUAAAAGGAACAGUUGGGGGUAUUCAUAUUCACUAGUUAGAGGUGAAAUUCUCGGAUUUAUGGAAGAUGAACAAGUGCGAAAGCA